CCCAAUAUUUAGUGGGAAGUUCCCAGGUAUCAUCCGCUAGCGACAGUCUACUGGCAAAUCCAGACAUGCAUUGGAAGGAUGCUGAUGUGGAGGACACAGGGACACCUGAUCCAAGAACUGUGACAUUUCAUUCAGGGUGACAACCUGGCUUUCAGUUGAUAUGGGACCUUAUUAUUCGGAGAACUGCAGAUUUUAUGAAGCUGUCUUUGACAGAAGAUUUGGUUUUCUCCAUCUGUGUUGCCACCAACCAUUAUGCAGAGAUGGUCAUAUCUAGGGGGAAGGGUUGUCAUAUACUUCCCAAGGAAGUUUGCAGCCUCUCACUGAAGAGGAACUGUACAGAUUUUUGUGCAUUAUAUUAUACAUGCCUGCUGUGGAGUUCCAGUCGAUAGACAGAUAUUGGUCAACGCAUGCCCCUGUCGGAACAACUGAUUAUCAAGAAUUAUGUCUAGAAAUAGGUUUCAAGAGGUUGAAUAUAAGAACAUUUUUGUUAAAUAUGAUGCAAGUACAUUUAAAUCUAGUGAUUGAAAGUAAGUACUUGAACAUUCGUAUAUGUUGAACUUGGAGAGGAAAAAUGGUUAGUACUUUUUGAUAACAUUUGAUAAGGUGUUGUUGUCUAGCAACCAAAUAUAAUUGAAUAAAUUAUUUUAGAUUAACAAUAAUUGAAAGAUCUUUGUUUUAAUGUUGCAAUACUUAUUCUAUUUUAUGGAACAUAAUGGCAA